rnacentral:rRNA from 1 species
AGAGUUCGUAGGCGGUAUUUUAAGUCUAAUGUGAAAUCAUAGAGCUCAACUCUAUUCCCGCAUUGGAUACUGAAAAACUUGAGUAGGGUAGGGGUCAGAAGAAUUCCUGGUGUAGCGGUGAAAUGCGUAGAUAUCAGGAGGAAAACCGGUGGCGAAAGCGUCUGACUGGGCCUUUACUGACGCUGAGGAACGAAAGCUAGGGGAGCGAAAGGGAUUAGAUACCCCUGUAGUCCUAGCUGUAAACGAUGGAUACUAGUUGUUGCAGGAAUCGACCCCCGCGGUAACGUAGCUAACGCAUUAAGUAUCCCGCCUGGGAAGUACGUUCGCAAGAAUGAAACUCAAAGGAAUUGACGGGGACCCGCACAAGCGGUGGAACAUGUGGUUCAAUUCGAUGCAACGCGAAGAACCUUACCUGGCCUUGACAUGCCUAGAACCCGGUAGAGAUACUGGGGUGCCUUCGGGAGCUAGGACACAGGUGCUGCAUGGUUGUCGUCAGCUCGUGUCGUGAGAUGUUGGGUUAAGUCCCGCAACGAGCGCAACCCUUGUUGUUAGUUGCCACUCAUACUUCGGUAUGGAGCACUCUGACAAGACUGCCCCGGUUAACGGGGAGGAAGGUGGGGACGACGUCAAAUCAUCAUGGCCCUUACGGCCAGGGCUACACACGUGUUACAAUGGGCGCCACAAUGGGCUGCAACUGUGCAAACAGAAGCGAAUCCCUUAAAAGCGCUCUCAGUUCGGAUCGUAGGCUGCAACUCGCCUGCGUGAAGUUGGAAUCGCUAGUAAAUGCAGA